GCAGCAGCUGUGGCCUUGUUGGUGCACUGCCGCAGUGGGAUCGAACUCCGUUGUUCGUCAUAACAUCACGAAAUUCUUAACCAUUCGGCUAUAGUCUACCUUAAUACCAGUGAAUGUGCUUCCUAACUCGUACACAACAGAACACAUAACUCGUAGACCUCUUCGACUUUGAAGGAACCCCCGCGCGCGCGCGCGCAAGUAAUUUAUUCCUUUGUAUACACACAGGCAUAUGUAUGCAUAUGCGUGCGUGUUAUCUGCAGAUUUUUCAGCUUUUAAUAAAUGAAAGAGAACUGUA